UACGUAGGGGGCAAGCGUUGUCCGGAUUUAUUGGGCGUAAAGAGCGUGUAGGCGGCCAGACAGGUCCGUUGUGAAAACUCGAGGCUCAACCUCGAGAUGUCGAUGGAGACCGUCUGGCUAGAGUCCGGAAGAGGAGUGUGGAAUUCCUGGUGUAGCGGUGAAAUGCGCAGAUAUCAGGAGGAACACCGGUGGCGAAGGCGGAUCUCUGGGCCGAUACUGACGCUGAGGAGCGAAAGCGUGGGGAGCGAACAGG
rnacentral:rRNA from 1 species